AAAAUUCAGGCCUCAUCUCAACCCAAUGAAUAUUCAUGCCUAACAAGUUUCAUCAAAAUGGGCCCAAUUUCAGCCCAGUUCACGAAAUCACGGCCCACAUUUUUACCCAUAUUUAAAAUUCAAUUCGAUUUGAAAUUCGAUUCGAAAUUCGAUUUCGAAUUUCGAACCAACUCCCAAUAUAUCCUCCAACCAUCCAACAACCCAUUCAAAAUUCGAAUUUCGAAUUCUCAACCUAUCAUCCAACAACCCAUUCAAAAUCCGAAUUUCGAAUUUCGAAUUUCGAAUUCCCAACCAACUCCCAAAAUAUUCUCCAACAACUUAUUCAAAAUUCGAAUUUUGAAUUUCAAAUUCCCAACCAAUUCCCAAAAUAUCCUUCAAUAACUCAUUUCCAACCAAUUUCCAACAUAUCCUCCAACAACCCAUUCAAAAUUUGAAUUUUGAAUUUCGAAUUCCCAACCAACUACCAAAAUAUCCUCCAACAACCCAUUCAAAUUUCGAAUUUCGAAUUUCAAAUUUUGAUUCCCAAAAUACCCUCCAAAUAAUCACAACAACCUAUUCAAAAUUCAAAUUCGAAUUUCGAAUCCCUCAAAAUAACUCUCACCACCCUUCCCAUUAUAAAUACGAGAACCGAAAUCAAACUCCGAGGAAUUUUUUUAGAGAGAUGAUACGAUAGACAAAGAACAAAAAAAU
rnacentral:lncRNA from 1 species